GACGAACGCUGGCGGCGUGCUUAACACAUGCAAGUCGAACGGAAAGGCCCUGCUUUUGUGGGGUGCUCGAGUGGCGAACGGGUGAGUAACACGUGAGUAACCUGCCCUUGACUUUGGGAUAACUUCAGGAAACUGGGGCUAAUACCGGAUAGGAGCUCCUGCUGCAUGGUGGGGGUUGGAAAGUUUCGGCGGUUGGGGAUGGACUCGCGGCUUAUCAGCUUGUUGGUGGGGUAGUGGCUUACCAAGGCUUUGACGGGUAGCCGGCCUGAGAGGGUGACCGGCCACAUUGGGACUGAAAUACGGCCCAGACUCCUACGGGAGGCAGCAGUGGGGAAUAUUGCACAAUGGGCGGAAGCCUGAUGCAGCAACGCCGCGUGCGGGAUGACGGCCUUCGGGUUGUAAACCGCUUUCGCCUGUGGCGAAGCGUGAGUGACGGUAAUGGGUAAAGAAGCACCGGCUAACUACGUG
rnacentral:rRNA from 1 species